rnacentral:lncRNA from 1 species
GAACACCCCUGGGCACUAGAGAAAGAAGUGUCACAGUUGGUCCUGAUUACCAGCACUGGACUGUUUUAUGGAUCCUGCCAUGUGCCUCCUGACAAAAGCAAUUUAGAUCGAAAGAAAACAUGAUCAGCUGGAGACAUGGAUGUGAGAAGGGAUUGAAUCUGCUCAGGAGAGAUGAGAAGCAAGGUUCUGCCCCCUGAGGUGGGAACUGUGUGUAGCCAUGAUGAUCGGUGACAUCAUCUAAAGGAGUAUGGAGCAUGAGUCUACCUGCUGUGCUAGGGCCCAUAACUCUGUGAAGAGAAGAAACCCUGAGACUUACACUUGCUCUGUCCAGCAUUGAGGUGACACCUUAUUAUACAUCAAGAAGGUCCUGGUGCAUGGGACAUGCUCUGAGCCUUCCCAGCCUCCUACUGUGUGCUACAUAAAUGUCUAUAGGAGUAAACCAUGUAAUCUUAGUUCACUUCCUACAAGUCUCAAAAUGUAUAGAGUC